AGCGCGGAGAGGGAGAGGGAGAGGGAGGAUGGAGGGAGGGAUGAAGGGAUGGAGGGAGCGAUGCACAGAGCCGAGAGGAGGGGAGAGGUACCCAGCAGGGAAGGGAGAAGGAGAAAGGGAGCUGACGAGAAUUUGCACGGCGAUCGGUGGAAAGGGGAGGGGAGAGAGGCAGGAAUGAGAGACACCUCUCAGGGGAGACAGCCACUUGCGGGUGAGAGAGGCUGCAAAGGAGCGCUGAUCUGAUUAACGGGGGAGCGAGCCGAGCUACAGCCCGGAGAGGACCAGCGGCAGCAGCCGCUCCGGGAGGCAGGUGGCUCUUCCUUUGGCUCUUGGAGCUCCGUGACCGAGUGCCGCUGAAGAAGAAGUCAGCUGGAAGCCUCUCUCCACGUCCCGCCUCCCCAUCCCAUUUCUCAGGGGAGUCCCAUGCCUGCGGCUAUCUGCGAUAGCAAAGCCAGAGAGCUGGCACGGGGUGAAAGCAGGGCUCCUUUAUAUACGCUUGCCUCUCACCAAGCCGCCCCCUCCCCUGCAUGUGACGCAGAUGUGCUCUGGGGCCAUCAGUGUGAAGAGACAGAGGGAAAAAGAUGCUUCAGUCUUCCUCAUGCAAGGAUGUGUAAGAGAGGACCCAAUGCAGGACUGAUGGUGCUGCAGAAGAGAGUACUGAAGCGACAUCCAGGAGACCCCAUGGCCUGGUAUGCAGAUUGUGCGUUGCACAACUGUGACCACUGCAUUGACCUAUCCAACCUUCUUCCUGGACUAUGCCAUCUACCCACAGGACAGUGAUGUCAUGUAAUUUGUAAAACUGCACAUAUAUCUGUUAUAAAAGUGUUUUGUAUCCAAGUCGACUUCAAACUGUCAAAGUGAUUUUAAACCAUGAUGUUCUAGAAAUUUGAUUCCAUGGUUCUGUUGGUCUUAUUAUUCUUUAUUGCCAAAUAGGACAUAGAUACCAAUACCUUUGUCUUUCACAGGCACUAACAGAGAGAACAGAAUUAGCUCCCAAAAUAAAGAACAGAUGGGGAUACAAAUUCAAUAAUUUUCUCAUUACUAAAAAAAAAAAGUAUUCUCUGCAGCAAACCUAUUUUCAGCAUGUAGGUCUGUCCCUCUAGCUUUAGAAAUCAAAGAAUAUUGUGCCUUGAAAGUACUCGUAAAAUAAAGCUUGAUAAACCAUAACAACAUGUUGUAAAUUUCUUUUACCCUGGAAUAUAUAUUAAUAUAUAUCUCAAAAAUGCAU